rnacentral:rRNA from 1 species
GACGAACCGUGCGAACGUUGUUCGGAAUCACUGGGCAUAAAGGGCGCGUAGGCGGCUUUUCAAGUCAGGGGUGAAAUCCGGCAGCUUAACUGUCGAAGUGCCUUGAUACUGGGAAGCUCGAGGGAGGUAGGGUGUGUGGAACUUCCGGUGGAGCGGUGAAAUGCGUUGAUAUCGGAAGGAACGCCGGUGGCGAAGGACGGGU